rnacentral:lncRNA from 1 species
CUUUUUGAAUGAUAUAUCUUACAAAUAUGAUCUAUAUGAUUAUGUUAUGUUAGUACCAAAUCUGAUCACGUGCCUUAAAAGGUUAUUUGUUUUUUACAGCUCAGAAGAUCCACGUGAGCUCAGCAACACACCUGGCUCUGAUGAGAGACAACGCAUAUGAGCUUCAUCUUAGAGGAGAGAUUGAAGUGAAGGGAAAGGGGAAAAUGAACACAUAUUGGCUGAUCGGUAACAAAAACUACAGCGUUCAGAACGACAGUUUGGUGUGUCACUGGAAUCCCAACCUGGCCAGAAAGAAGAAGACCCCGACAGGAAGCAACGUCUCUGUGGACAACGUGGAGAACUGUGCGGGCAGCUACGGGACACUGGGCUCCAUGAUGGGGGGCGAGGAGAACCCCUCCAGCCCACAGGUCCAGAGAGAGACUUCUCUACCGGGGCUGGUGCCGCACUGCUGAGCAAGAGUGUGAGUGACACAGACAUAAUGGAGAAUUCUCUGAGAGGUUAGAGCAGUGUUUCUUAAUCCUGGUCCUCGAGACAUCCUGCUUUGAACACUGUAGAAGAAUCGAUGCUUUAACUUUAACCCCUCUGCAACUAAUUAAGACUUAAAGUACCUAUUAAUGAGCUGUAUAUUUGAAUCAGGGGUGGGUUUCCCGAAUGAUUCGUAAUGCUAAGAACUUCAAUAACUUAAAUUUAAGAUUGAUGGUUAAUUAAAGAGUGUUUCCCAAACCCAUGCGUAACUAAAGUACUACAUUAACUCGCUUGCAGAUUAACGAGUAACCCGACCCAGUCGUUAUUCAAAAAUAACUACUUUAAAGGGAAUUCUGCUUGCAGUUCAGCACCUUAAACACCAGGGACAAUUUUGAGGGAGAAAAAAAAAUAUUUU